AUUAAACCUAGGGAUGAUUAUUGUCAUCGUUUGUCAUUAUGUAGCCCAGCUCCAGGCUAUUUUCAUUUUGCUCCCAGCAGAUCCCUGGGACCUGGUCCCUUCCCCCCGACCCCUGCCAACUCCCUCUCCAGUACAUUGGCUGCCCCUGUGCAGAUCAGAGGCAGGCAGCUGGGUACAGGUGCUCCCCACACCUUCUCCUGGCUGAAGACUUCUUAGGAUUUUGGCAGGAAAUUAAUGAAUCUUCCACAGGGUAAGAAAACAAACCCCUGGUCUCCGCUCCUCCUGGCAGAGACAGGGCAGCUCCUGGCACCCUGGAUCCCAGCAAACUGGUCGCUGACUGACGGAGGAGGCCUGGUCUCUGCAGUGGCCAACUCCCAGCUGAAGUGGACGGGGAGACAAGGUCAGGAAGGCCAGUCCACUCCCACCUCCUCCCAGAAAAAGUCUUGAACAAGCUUUAUUUUGAUGGCUCGGUGUAGUGACUAAUGCCUGUAAUCUCAUCACUUUGGGAGGCCGAGGCGGAUGGAUCACCUGCAGCCAGGAGUUGGAGACCAGCCUGGCCAUCAUGGUAAAACCCCAUCUCUACUAAAAAUACAAAAAUUAUCCGGGCAUGGUGGUACAUGCCUGUAGUUCCAGCUACUCCAGAGGCCAAGGCAUGAGAAUCGCUUGAACCUGGGAGGCGGAGAUUGCAGUGAGCCGAGAUCGCACCACUGCGCUCCAGCCUGGGCAACAGAGUGAAACUCCGUCUCAACAACAGCAACAAACAAAGUUUUGUUUUGAGGCUACUGAGCACAAGGUGAGAUGCAACUGAGCUCUUCCAUGGUGGAUGAGGAGAGGAGCCCACUGUCAUCAAAAGACCCACACUUCUAUCAUGUUGUUGCCUGGCUUCCAAGUCUAAGACGGCUGCUUCAGCUCCAGCCAUCACUCCCACCAUCCAGCCAACAGGGAGGAGGAAGGGAAGGAAAAGGACAUGUGCUAUGCUUUGAGUGUUUGUCCCCUUUGAAACUCAAGCCGAAACUCAUGUUAAAACUUAAUCUCCGGUGGAACAGUAUUAAGAGGUGGGCCUUUAAGAGGUGAUUGAGUCACAAGGGAUAAAUUCACGGGUUAAUGAGUUAUCCUGGGAAUGGGUUAGUUAUCACCAGAGGGCUGUUACAAAAGUUAGUUUGGCUGUUUUUUCUUGUCCUCUCACCCUGUGAUGCCCUGUGCUGCCUCGGGACUCCAUAUAGAGUCCAAAUGAGCAAGAAGGCCCUCACCAGAUGCAGUCCCUUGACCUUGAACCUUUCAGCCUCCA
rnacentral:lncRNA from 10 species